AUCGAACGCUGGCGGCAGGCUUAACACAUGCAAGUCGAGCGAGCGGCGGACGGGUGAGUAAUGUCUGGGAAACUGCCUGAUGGAGGGGGAUAACUACUGGAAACGGUAGCUAAAACCGCAUACCAUCGGAUGUGCCCAGAUGGGAUUAGCUAGUAGGUGGGGUAAAGGCUCACCUAGGCAACGAUCCCGAGCUGGUCUGAGAGGCUGACCGCACACACUGGACCGAAGCCACGGUCCGAGUGCCAACGGGAGGCAGCAGGGGGGAAUAUUGCGCAAUGGGCGCAGGCCGGAUGCAGCCAUGCCGCGUGUGUGAAAAAGGCCUUCGGGUUGUAAAGCACUUUCAGCGAGGAGGCGUUACUCGCAGAAGAAGCACCGGCUAACUCCGUGCCAGCAGCCGCGGUAAUUC
rnacentral:rRNA from 1 species